GACGAACGCUGGCGGCGUGCUUAACACAUGCAAGUCGAACGGAAAGGCCCUGCUUUUGUGGGGUGCUCGAGUGGCGAACGGGUGAGUAACACGUGAGUAACCUGCCCUUCACUUUGGGAUAACUUCAGGCAACUUGGGCUAAUACCGGAUAGGAGCUCCUGCUUCAUGGUGGGGGUUGGAAAGUUUCGGCGGUUGGUGAUGGACUCGCGGCUUAUCAGCUUGUUGGGGGGGUAGUGGCUUACCAAGGCUUUGACGGGUAGCCGGCCUGAGCGGGGCACCGGCCACAUUGGAACUGAGAUACGGCCCAGACUCCUACGGGAGGCAGGAGUGGGGAAUAUUGCACAAUGGGCGGAGGCCUGAUGCAGCAACGCCGCGUGCGGGAUGACGGCCUUCGGGUUGUAAACCGCUUUCGCCUGUGACGAAGCGAGAGUGACGGUAAUGGGUAAAGAAGCACCGGCUAACUACGUG
rnacentral:rRNA from 1 species